ACAGCCACACCACAUAGAAACACCGGUUCCUGUACGAUCACCGAAGUUAAGCAACAUCAGUCUUGGUCAGUACCUAGAUGGGUGACCGCUUGGGAAUACCAGGUGCUGUAAG